rnacentral:lncRNA from 1 species
CCGGAGCAAUUUCAUCUCCGAGCAAUGAAAUCAACAUUGACUAUUGAUUCAACUUUUCUCAAGCAAAUCCAAUCCAGUAUGUCCUCAGACCCUCUUGUUUAUGAUAUCGAGAAUAAUUCUUCCAAGUCUCAUGAUCCUUCUAAGUUCGAGUUCAAGAAUAAUCUAUUAUAUUUUGAAGGACGCCUAUAUGUUCCAGAAGGAGAAGCA